rnacentral:rRNA from 1 species
AACGAACGCUGGCGGCAUGCCUAACACAUGCAAGUCGAACGAGACCUUCGGGUCUAGUGGCGCACGGGUGCGUAACGCGUGGGAACCUGCCCUUAGGUUCGGAAUAACUCCCCGAAAGGGGUGCUAAUACCGGAUAAUGUCUUCGGACCAAAGAUUUAUCGCCGUUGGAUGGGCCCGCGUUGGAUUAGCUAGUUGGUAGGGUAAAAGCCUACCAAGGCGACGAUCCAUAGCUGGUCUGAGAGGAUGAUCAGCCACAAUGGGACUGAGACACGGACCAGACUCGUACGGGAGGCAGCAGUGGGGAAUAUUGGACAAUGGGCGAAAGCCUGAUAAAGCAAUGCCGCGUGAGUGAUGAAGGCCUUAGGGUUGUAAAGCUCUUUUACACGGGAUGAUAAUGACAGUACCGGGAGAAUAAGCUCCGGCUAACUACGUG